UUUGUUUCCACAAUUCAUAACUAUGCAACUACAUGAAAUAGAGGUGGCAAAGAUAAGCAGCAGAGAUAAGACCAAUAUUUAAAAUGAAAUCUUGCAGUUCAAAGUAGGCUGUAAUAAUUUCUUCUCAAAUUACUUAAUUGUAAGAUCGAAAUGUAAUGCCAUUAGUAGUAUUGCUCAUUUGGUUUCCAAUUAAUGCGAGGUUGCACAAAUUUUGUAAUCUAUACCAUCUUUCAAACAUUAAUAGAAAUAGUCAUCAUUGCCGACAUCGAGUUCACAUCUAUUACCAUCUAUUACCAUAUAUUAAUCCCCCAAAAAAGUAGCCACAUAGCAGGCUUAGCUUCAAUAUUUGAUGUGGGCUCCAUCUGCUACAUUGGAUUUUCAAUCAAAAGCCCCUGAUCUGUAUAUCACCCUCCCCCCAAAACCCUAAAUCUUAAGUACUCUCUUAAAAGAGCCAUCUUUUUCAAAUCAAAACAAGCCAAAAACCUAAAAAAAACUUAAGUAGAUCCAAUCUUGACGAAAACCAAACAACAAGCAUGAUUAAACAACGCAAAAAAAAAGCAGAUCAUGGAACCAAAACUCGAAAAAAUUACUAAGAGGCGGAGGGAGACGAACAAUAUUACCAAGUCUAAUGCUUAAACUGUUAGAAAACGAAGUUAAUAAGGAGGUAUUGGGUGUAGCCGCGUAGGGUUUGGGAUUGGUCUAUUACUAUAUAUUAAUCCCCCAAAAAAGUAGCCGCAUGGCAGGCUUAGCUUCAAUAUUUGAUGUCGGCUCCACCUGCCACAUUGGAUUUUCAAUCAAAAGCCUCUGAUUUGUAUAUCACCCUCUCCCCAAAACCCAAAACCCUAAGUACUCUCUUAAAAGAGCCAUCUUUUCCAAAUCAAAACAAACCAAAAACCUAAAAAAAAACUCAAGCAGAUCCAAUCUUGACGAAAACUAAACAACAAGCACGAUUAAACAACGCAAACAAAAAAAACGCAGAUCAUGGAACCAAAACUCAAAAAGAUUACUAAGAGGCGGAGGGAGACGAACAAUAUUACCAAGUCUAAUGCUUAAACUGUUAGAAAACGAAGUUAAUGAGGGGGCAUUGGGUGUAGCCGCGUAUGGUUUGGGAUUGGUCUAUUACCAUAUAUUAAUCCCCAAAAAAAGUAGCCACAUGGUAGGCUUAGCUUCAAUAUUUGAUGUGGGCUCCACCUACCACAUUAGAUUUUCAAUCAAAAGCCCUUGAUCUGUAUAUCGCCCUUCCCCCAAAACCCUAAACCCUAAGUACUCUCUUAAAAGAGCCAUCUUUUCCAAAAUCAAAACAAACUAAAAACCUAAAGAAACUCAAGCAGAUCCAAUCUUGACGAAAACCAAACAACAAGUACGAUUAAACAACGCAAAAAAAAAGAAGCAGAUCAUAGAACCAAAACUCGAAAAAAUUACCAGAAGGCGGAGGGAGACGAACAAUAUUAGCAAGUCUGAUGCUUAAACUAUUAGAAAACGAAGUUAUAGAGGGGGAAUUGGGCGUAGCCGCGUAGGGUUUGGGAUUGGAACGAGGUGGCGAAGGGAUCGUCGAGGGGAGAGAGAGAUUUAUAAGAGAAUUUUAAAUCCGUUUAGGGUUUUAAAUUCGAUCUCCUAUGCCCCCUCUAUCGCUAACACUUUUCUUAUUAGAGAAGGAUCCUAAUCUGUUUGUAAAAGAUAUGGAAGAGUAGGGAGCAUAUAUACACAUAAACUCAUGCAUGCAUGCACGGCCUUUUUUCACGUCUAGUCCUUAAAGAUAAUUAUUCAAAUUUUUUCGUUGGCCGUUUCUUUUCCUUUACUUUAUUGAACCGUUUCUUUUCUAUUACCUGUUCGUCUACCUUCCUCCCUUUUUUGUCAUAUAAAUCCAUCCUCCCCUACAAUCUCACUUCUCUUUCCUUGGCGAGAGGCGUCGCUGGUUGAGAGGAAUCGAACGAACAUGGUGGCGACGCCCGAUUGCAACGCUCUCAACUGGUCCAAGGCCAUCUAGGUCCUCAAUUCCCUCCUCGCCCAAUCCUGCUCCAUCCAAGACCUAUGGUUUUGAAUCAACCUCUUUGAUUCCUUUCUAAAUCUCUUCUGUUUCUAUGUUGAAUCGCGUAUUUCGUUGGAUUUUGAUAUAUUUUUUUUUGUUUUUGGUUAAGAUUACCACCAUUUUGGGUUUGGAUCAUGAGUUCUUAGGGUUUCUAUGGUGAUUGUAGCGAUCAAGUGUUCUGUUAGCUACAGCAAAUUGGAGCACCACAAGCAUGUGAUCAAGGAGUGCGACAAGGCAUUGCAGCUCGAUCCCACUCUUCUUCAACCUUAAAGGUUAUUUCGAUUGUGGAUAACUAGAUCUUGCUAUCUGUAAUGUUUUUUAACUGAUUGAUUCUUGGUUUUUUUUUAUUAGGAUUCUAUUUUCCUAAGAUACGUGAAUUGUUGGAUUGAUUUCUUGCUUUACUUUCCUGUUGUAAUUUGGAAAUCAACUUGGAAUAGUCUCUACUAAAUAAUCUUUUGAUCUUUUUAUUAGGAUGAAAUUAUCUUGAAUUCCUAUAUUGUGAUGACUAAAUAACUAUCUCCAUGAAAGGGGCAUCUUUUUAGUCAUCAUUUUUAAUAAACCUAAGAGAUCAUAUACAUAUAGAUAAUUUUGAGGUUUUCUACCCAGCACAGAGCACUACCGAGCGCCAAUUGCCAAGCUACAAAUACCAGAAAGUAACAAAGUAGGAGGAGGAAUAGCAGAAGGAAUAGAAGCAACGAAACAGAAGGGGAGUAAAAAUCCCAUCAUCCAAUUGCUAUUUAUAGACAACAAAGUAGAAUAGACAAAAUCAAGGUCACCGAAGGAAAGUGGUGCCUCUCAUCCACCAAUACAGGCUGGCAAAGACAAUGCCCGCAGGACACCCCAACACUUGAGCACCAUGCCGCAAGGACGGUUGCGUUUAUCGAAGAGAAGGUGACCCUUGCCACCAGCCUGGCACCCCGGACAGGCCAUUAAUGAAAGUAUGAAGGUGACAUAACAGGGCAUUAAUGAGGAAAAAAAGAAGGAGGGAGGAAGAGACAACCGCCAUUCCGAGGGAGGGAGGGGAAGAGACAGCCGCCAUGCCGCUCGAAAAGCCACUGCGACCGCGGAGGAGAAGGUGAGCCAGCACACCUGGCACCCCAGACGAGCCAUUAAUGAAAGUAUGGAAGCGACAUGGCAGGACAUUAAUGAGGAAAAAAUGGAAGGUAGGAAGAGACAACAGCCAUGCCGGAGGGAGAGAGGAAGAGACAGCCGCUAUGCCGCUCGGAAACGUCGCUGCGGCCGUGGAGGAGAAGGCAAGCCAACAAAAUCGAGUCGAGAGAGGAGGAAGCGAAUCGGCACCAAGGAUGGGACGCGAAACCCCCUUUCGUUUUUUCCAAGGAUGGGACGUAACACCGGCACAGAACGACUUUUGGGCUCCCCGAAUGCUAACUUUUUUUUUCCUCUCAAGGAUGGGACCCGCCAAGGAUUGGACCUACCAAACCCGGGGAGCCCAGUUUUUGGGCUUCCCGACGCCCUUUUGCUUCCCCUUUUUUUUUUUUUUUUUUUAAGAUGGAACCUGCCAAACCCGGGGAGCCCAGUUUUAGGGUUCCUGAUUUAUGGAUAACAUAGAUAGUAGCUGUUAUAUAAUCACCACCACAAUCUUUAAUGAUAUCGCCCUUAAUGAUCGUAAAAUAAAUACAUGUAAUUUUUUAAUAUCCGCAAGAUAAUUACGUAUAAUUUUUUAAGGCAAAUUGAAAUUUAUCCUUAAAAUUAAUAAUAUUUUAAAAAAUGAGACUUAAUUGACAUACGCACUAAGCUAAUGCAACUUUAUUGCAAAAAAUUGAAAUAUUACUAAAUUAGGGAUGACAAGUAAAAUCGGGGAAAGUUGGGGAGUAAGGAUGCAAUUAACCUCCGAAACAAAACCCUGUAAAAUGUAUCAGUAGCGUUGCUCAUGUUCUAGAGGCGCCACGCUUCCUCCGUUCCUACGCCUAGGGUUUAUAGAAUCGACCAUCUAAUUUACGAGCAAAGGUGCCAUUUUACUUGCGAAUUCUUAGUACUUCUACAAUUUUCCUCCCAAUUUGUUGUUAUUCUAUGCGUUUUUAAUCUGUGUACUCUCUCUCUCUCGAGGAGUUUGAAGGAAAUGAGCUCGGCAAUACUCCGAUCUGCUUCGAUCGAUCUUGUGUUGCCCCACAAGGUGAGCAUUUGUAACUGUAAUUCAUUGAGCAGCAGGUAAAAUAAACAAAAAAGUCGAUUUUUUGAGCUAAAAAUUUGAUUUUUAAUUGUAGAAUGAAACCCUAAGGUCGAAACCACAGCAAUGUAAUGGAUCUCUUCUUCGUGCGAGAGCAUCUGUUGCUUCGUCGCCGCAAAGCUUGCGGUCUAUGAAGGAGAUGAUCGAUGUUUCGGAGAAAUCGGUUCGAAUCGGGGUCCUGGGUGCUAGUGGUUAUACUGGGGCUGAGGUUGGUCUUCUUCUCUUUUUCUUGUUGUAGUGGUUAAUUAAUUUUUGGUUAGUUUUAUUAAACCCCAAAUCAUAAACCCUAAACCCUAUACGGCCAUGUUUAGAUGCUAGAAUAAGUUAUCCAGCAAUAACUUAUGCACAAUGAGGAUUUAUUUUUGUGAUUGCAAUUUAGGAGUUUGAUUUUAGCUCUUUGGAAGGUCUUGGCGACCAUGAUUUGGUAAGACGGUAUAGUUUAGCUACAAGGUGAUGUGUUUUAUUUCAAAACAAAUAACUUGAAUGCCGAAUAUGGUAUGCCAUUUUGGACAUUUGAUCAUACUUCUCAUCUGCCAAGUACUAUAAGCUUCUUGAGCAAAUUGAAGAGAUGUGCUGAAUAAGAUGUUCAUGCAUUCCUACCAGGCCUAGGAAGAUUUUCUUUUGCAAUUGCAAGUUAGGAGCUUGAUUUUAGUUGCUUGCAAGGUCUUGGCUACCAUGAUUUGGUUAGAUGGUGUAUUUCACUUAUGAGGUAAUUUAUCUUAUUCCAAGAAAAUGACUAAGAGAUUAGAUAUAAUAUACAUUUUUAGACAUUUGAUCAUAUUCCUUGUCUACCAAACUACAAUCAUCUUAGGUAAACAAAAGAGAUGUGUUGAGCAAGAUGUUCAUGCCUCCAGAUAGGCCCUAAGAGAUUUCUUUUAUUUCUUUAUUUUCUAUAACGAAAAAUUGGGGGUUGCUUCAAUGCUUGAUUAAGAUUAGAUUUCUUUUUUUUUUUGCACAUACUUUGUAGGAACUACUCAUUCUCUUUAUUUUGUGUUUACAUUUAUUCCAUUUCUUCUCUUUUAUCAAUUUUCUUCAUAUAUUUUAUACAUUUUGUACGUGAUCAUAGAUGAGCUGAAGUGUAAACAAGACAUACAAUCAUACAUGUCAAGAUGAUGGUCAUUGAAUUUGAAACAACACAUGCAUGUGUAACAUCUCUAUCGUAACAAUGGAAUUUAGGAGUCAAAUGCAGUUUUGUCCCUAAAGCAUUGUUGUAAGAUUACAGUGUCUAACAUUAUUGUUCAUGAUUUCAUCAAAUUUUUGUUGAAUCAUCUACAUCUAGUGGAACUAUUAUGUGAACGACCUUUCUCUAUCUUAAAUGUUUGUCCUGAAAUGUUUGUAAAAUACUUUGUUAAGGUUAUUCCUUCUAUUCCUUUUACAUUAAGAAUUAAAACUUCUACAAUUUACACUAUGACCGGAAUGUGUCGAUGCUUUCACAGAUGCCGUUAGACUUUCUUGUGAUGUCUUGUUGAUCUCUCUCUCUCUCUCUCUCUCUCUCUCUCUCGUGGUCUGCAAUUUGUAUUGUUUCAUUUGAUAGAUUGUUCGGCUUCUGGCAAACCAUCCACACUUUGGUAUCACAAUGAUGACUGCUGACAGAAAAGCUGGUCGAUCGAUUGGAUCGGUGUUUCCUCACUUAAUGGCACAAGUAAGAUUUGAUUAUCCUUUUUAACAGAUAUGAAUCUUGAAUAACUUAGUAUUUUCUAAUUCCAUUUUAGGAGCUUACAAUAGUUUUCUUUUUUACGAGCAAUUAAUUAGGCUCAUAAAAUAUGCUUAUCUCUGAUGCCUUUUAUUUACAGGAUUUGCCUGCAAUGGUUGCAAUCAAAGAUGCAGAUUUUUCUGAUGUUGAUGCUGUAUUCUGUUGCCUGCCACAUGGAACAACACAGGUAUAUCUGCAUCAAAACAUUCUUUACCUUCAAAAUGUUGCUUAUUGCAGGAUUCAGAAAACUGCUGCAUCAUUGUGGUUAAUUGUUCGUCCUUUUUACGACUUCUAACUCUAUCUAUUUCUUUUUUCUCACAGGAGAUCAUUAAAAGCCUGCCUAAGCAGCUGAAGAUUGUUGAUCUCUCUGCAGUAUGCCUUGGGUGCAUUUAUAGUACCUGUUGAGAUAUCUGAUUAUUUAGAUGCACAGAAGGAGACCUUGCAGAAGUUUCUGUUUGGUGAAAAACUGAACCGUUUAAUUGAUUUAACAUUUUCACAGGAUUUUCGAUUGCGCAAUAUUGAUGAAUAUGAAGAGUGGUAUGGCCUACCACAUAAAGCACCAGAGUUACAGGUACUGCUUAUUACGUAUUUUUUUUCGCUAUCUCCUUCAGUUGUUCAGCCUUGGAUUUGUAUCCUCUCAGAACUUACUCCUGUUAGACUUCACUUUGGUUGCACCUACCUGAAUAAGUUUCUUAAAGUGUUUGUCCCUAUAUGUUGAGAUAUGUAAUUUAGGCUGGUUUCGGCUGUAUAUUUUCAUAUUUGGUCCUCAUAGACCAGCAGAGUAGAAUGAUUCUAUUCCAAUUUUCAGUAGAGAUUGUUUUGUAUAGUAUCAAUGAUUUUGUUUUUACUUGGAUUAGAAAGAGGCUGUAUAUGGUUUGACAGAAGUUUCAAGAGACCAAAUUCGAAAUGCACGACUUGUUGCAAAUCCUGGAUGUUAUCCUACGUCCAUUCAGCUUCCUCUUGUUCCACUUAUAAAGGUUUGAACUCUAUUCUGUAUAAAGCAACAUAUAUUUGGGGGUCAAUGUAGAGUAUACUGCAUAUCUAGUUUUGAAUGUUUUAUCUAAUGAGAUCCAUUGAGGGCCUAUGUGGUUGCCUGAUUUAAUUAAGGUGCUGUUUAAAGUAUUGCUAUGUGGCAGCACAAAGAAAUGGACUUCAACGAGUAUGGAGAAUUUGCUACUUUAUUUUUAGUGCUUGCACUUUCUCAUGACUAGAUUCUCGCUUCUAAAUUUCAAGCACUAAUAGUAACUAGAUGCAUCCUUCUGAUGUGAAUGUAUCAUUAUAGACGCAAGAAAUUAAACUCUAUUCAUUUUUCACUUACUCAAGAAUUGUCGUGCCAUUGGCAUGCCCUGUGUUGCAGUGCCAGCUGCAUAGCACGGCACGGCACGAGACAGCACAGCAGCACGAGUGUGUCAAUUUAGGCACGCCCCUUUGGCACAUCGGCACAUAUUGACAUGGGCUUUUUUUAAUUAAUUUUUCAUGAAAAUUCAGUUUUUUUUAGAGUAUUUUAAUAUCCCUAAAGACGAUAAAAAUGGUUUAUGUAUUUUUUCUCACACAAUUAGGUAAGAAUAGAGUCCUAAUCAUCUUAAUAACAAAAAAAAUUGUUUUAUUAUAUUAUGAAGAUAUAUGCAUGAAAUAAAAACCAAUGCCAUUAUUGGACAAAAUUUUAUGGGAAAACACUACCAUAAAUAAAAUCAUUGGGUCAAAAAUGAUGAAAGAAAUUGGAAAAAAAAAAUCUUUUUACUUGUAUUUCUUUUCCACUAAAUGUUGGUCUCAUAAUGCAAUGGAACUUACUAAUUGCUCCAAAUUUUAGUAGGUUUACAAGAUUUACAUAUUUUACGCAUUAAAAACUUUUGUAGAACUUUUUACCUUACAAAACUCAAAAAGAUUUCAAAAAAAUGUAAAAGAAACCCAUUAUGUCGUUACAGCCUUACAGGGUCGACACGAUGCCGUGUCACGUGUUGGCAUGGUCUCGGCACGGUACAGCAAAGAUGGCAUAGCAAUCCUUGCACUAACGAUAACAGAUUAUCUAAUAUUUUAUUUUAUUUUUUUUAGGCUGGCCUUAUAGAACUGAGAAACAUCAUUAUUGAUGCCAAAUCUGGGGUCAGUGGAGCAGGUUCGAGCUCACCAUAUACAAAUCACUUGUUUUAGUAAAUGUUUAGUUGAUGUUAUAUGUUUCAACAUCCUGUGAGUAACUUGUAAUGAUGAAAAUUUUAUAGGGCGCGGAGCUAAGGAGGCAAAUCUUUACACUGAAAUUUCAGAAGGUCUUCACUCUUAUGGGAUUACGAAGCAUCGCCAUGGUACCUAACUACCAUCAUAAUUUCGCAACUACUCAACAUUAAUAUUCAUCUUCUUAGAUCCUUCUUGGACAGAUAUUUGCUUCUGUACGGCAUCUUAUAAUUUUUAUUUGAUUCUGUUUACAUAGCUUGUGUUUGAACUCCAUGACGCUAUGCUAAACCUUUUACCAUGUCAGUUCCUGAGAUUGAACAAGGACUUUCUGAUGCGUCACAUUCUAAGGUGACUGUGAGCUUCACCCCACAUCUAAUGCCUAUGGUAAAAUUUUCUUUUUUCUAUCAGUUUUGUCCUUAUGAAUCAUGUCGUACAGAAAUUUUAUUUCUCCGAAUUGCUAGAGAAUAACUAAAGUCCAGUUCUUAACUUUUUAUCUAAUAUAUUUACUUGAAUAGAGCCGUGGAAUGCAAUCGACGAUAUAUGUGGAGAUGGCACCUGGAGUGACUAUUGAUGAUUUAUACCAGAAACUAUUGUCUACUUAUGAGGUAUGUUUCGUUGAAGAGCAAUGCUACCUGCACACCCCAAAAGGAGGGGUAGAUCUUACACCCCUUCAUGCAAGGGUCAAUAUUUGGCCCUCGUCUUGUCAUUUUUUUUUUCGUAAAUAUUAAAAAUUUAAAGGGUUUGUCGACCUUAGGAUUAAGAGUUGUAAGAUUUACACCCCUUUUGAGGUGUACAACUAGAAUUUUCCUUUGUUGAAAUGAUAUGAAGAAAACAUUUUGCUCAGAACGUGCAUUAUUGGUAAAUUAGUAUUUAGCAAUACUUGCAUAGAAGCCAUGAUUAAACUGAUUCAUUGGAAAUAAAAUGGUCCCUCCAGUGUUCAUGAAGUGCACAUUGUUAUUCAAUUGUAUUCAACAUUCGAAGAUAAUGUCGUGGCCGUGUGUACUUUUUUCCCCUUCAUAGUUAGGUAUAUAUUUUGGAAUAAAUGGAGCUGAGCUAAGUUCAAAUUUUGUGAGUGAACUUUGAAUUCGGAAAAGCAUUGUACUAUUCUCUUAAAUCUCGACUGGCUUCGUUCACUUUUUUCUCGCUUUUUUUUUUUUAACUGCCUACUUAUUAAUAUUCAUUUCAGGAUGAAGAAUUUGUCAGGUUAUUGGAAAAAGGAGCGAUCCCUCACACACGCCAUGUUCGGGGUUCGAAUUACUGCUUCAUGAAUGUCUUCCAAGAUCGGAUUCCAGGCAGAGCGAUUAUUAUCUCCGUUGUAUGUGUCAUCUCAGACCUCAGAUUUUGUCAUUAAGCAGUGGGAUUUACUCACCAUUUCAGAAUUUUCUUUUCCCAAAUGUACAAUACUUUGCAAUCGUACGCAGAUUGAUAACUUAGUUAAAGGAGCUUCGGGGCAAGCACUACAAAAUCUCAAUCUGAUGCUGGGAUUUCCGGAGAACAUUGGCCUUAACUACCAGCCAUUGUUUCCGUAAAAUAUUUCCUUUUUCGCAAAGGUAAGCAAUAUCCUGCUGGGCUUCUUAUGUUUUAAACUCUUUUGUUUCUUUUAUGCCCUAAUUAUUUCGACUCACUUGUAUAGUGUUUUAGCCGCAGAUUGAAGCUGAUUAUAACUCCAUGCUUGUUGUUGCAGGGGUCGCGAAUGAGCUCCUGAUUGUUUACUUUGUUUCCACCUGAUGCUUAAAAAGCUAAAUCAUGCGGCAGGCAGGUGAUGAAGAGAUUGCAGUGGUGUUAUUUUGUAUAAUUAUUUAUCCGUAGUGAUAACAUUAUACAAAUAAGAUAACUUAAAUCGUUUACUUCUGUUAGUUUCAAUAAUCGUAGCAUUUGUUUACUAUUUGGAAUAAUGUAAUUUUAAGGUCGGAAAUGCUUGUAUUUGUCAUGAUAAGAUGAUAAAUGUGAUGAUUGUUCUUUCAAAAUAAAAAUCUGAUAAAAGUACUUUUUACUGGACUAUUUUUCCCUAACUACUCAAAUUGGUGAGUGAAGAUUUUGAUGUUCGUAAACUAGAAAUGUAAUUGUGAAACCAAAUUCUUACAUCCCGUUUGGUUCGGGGAUAAGGGGUGGGAUAACCUCUUAUCCCUCUCUUUAUACCCAAAUGCUAUUUUUCGUACCCGAUAACAGUAGUUCUCGUAUACCUGGAAUAGGCCGGUAUAAUUUAAUAUAGACCAAGAUUAAUUAAAUUCUAAUUAAUAAUUUUAAAUUAUUAAUUAAUUUAAUUAAUAUAUUUAAAUUAUUAAUUAAUCUAAUUAGUAUUAAAUUAUUAUUUUUGAAUAACUAGCUAAGGGUGGGAAUAGUUGUUGGGAACAGCUGUUUCUAUCCUUAUUUUUAUUUUUAAAAUUUAAAAUUUUAAAAAUUUAAACUAAUCUCAAAAUUAAAGUUUAUAAUUUUAAAUUUUAAAUUUGAUAUUUUAUAUUUUUCAAAUUUAAAUUUGAUCUUAAAUUUAAAGUUUGAAAUUUAAAAUUUAAAAUUUAAAAUUUAAAAUUCAAGUUUCUAAAUUUUAAAUUUUAAUUUUGAAUUUUGGAAUUUAAAAGUUAAAAUAUAAAAAUUAAAAAUAUAAAUAUAAAAUUUAAAAUUAAAAUUUAAAUAUAAUGGGAGAGAUAGUAUUAUUAUUUUUUAUUUAUAACUAUCCAUUAUUCUCUUUAUUCAAUCUUAUUUACUUAAAUGCUAUUUUUCUUAUUUUUGGAAACAAUUCAAUUUUUAUCUAAAUAUAAAAUUGAUCUAAUUCUUAUUUAUAUCUUAAUUCAUAAAUAUUUUGAAAUAGAUAGUUCUUAUUUAUAUCCGAGUCAAACAAUAAUGGGUUUUUUUUCACUAUUAUGACCCAAUGCUAUUAUGCUAACAUUCCUUCUCAAUCCGAGUAACCUGGGCCCUGUCUUGUUACCUGUGGACCCAAACCUAACCCUAGGAUUCCCUGACGAACCCUAUUAGCCUAAUCUGGGACUCUGGUAUCUAAAAGCACAUGCUUUGUCUAAUAGUUUUUUUUUUUUUUUUUUUUUAAAAAACACUUUCAAUCUUUUUCUUUUUUUUUCCCUAUAAUUUAAUAAAGUUAUGAUGCACAUGGACACCAGAGAAAGAAGAAGUUAGAUGCUUCUCCGGUGGCGACCGGCGGUUUUAAUCACCAUUUUAUAACAUUAAGAAAGAAGGAAUCGAAAGCACCUUCGAAUUCUUGAAAUCACUCAAAAUGUAGAACCACAGUUUCAAACUAGAUCGAAGAGAUCGUUUGGUUUAAGAUUUGUAAUAUUUUAAAAAAAUAUUAUAUUUUUUAUACUCGAACUGACAAGUUUGGUACUAACUUAUCGGACUAUUUGGAUUGGGGGAGGUCAUUAAGAAGUAGCAUAGUUUUAAUUAACGGACAACUAAUGAUUCCCCUUAAAAUAAAAACACCUCUUAACUAAUGAUCAUUUAGUACUAUUAAUAUUUUUUACAAGCAUAUCCAACUUGAAUUGCGUGAACGAAGUGGCCUCUUUAUUUUUGAAAUGCGUACAUCCUAAUUUUAUAGAUGGCAAAUGGAGUAACAACCACAACACCAGGAAGUACAUGUUUUCCCUUUUUCUUUUUUUCUUUUUUUUUUUUUUCUAAUUCUUUAUGGUUAUUUUUUAAAAAAAUUUUUCUUCCUUCCUGGCUUGUGAAGAUGGGUGGGGAUCGGCAGCGGCAGUGGCAGUAAGAUUGGAGUCAGUGGCAGUGGGGUGGGGGGGACUUCAGGGGGAGGACCAUCAUCCAUACUUCGACAGCGUCCACGCAGACAACGCCCUUUCUUCACGUGCUGUGGACCCCACUGUCUCCACCACCACCACCACUACUACUACUUCUACUACUACUACUACUAUUACUCCCUAUUACUCUGUCUGUACUCUCAUUUAUAGAACUAGGCUAUUAUGCUAUUAAUAGCACCAAGUCAUUGGUGCUACCAAGUUUUUGACCAUUGGAUUAAGAAAUGUGUGAUUAGGAUGAUGUGGACCCCCUAGGAUUGAGUGGGUGGUUGGUUGAAUAGUAUGAUCUAACGGGUGAAAAUGAUCAAAAGAGUAGAUCUAACGGCGAAAAACUUGGUAGCACCAAGUGCUCCGUACUAUUAAUAGCACAGUAGCCGGACUCCUCAUAUAUAUAUAUAUAUAUAUAUAUAUAUAUAUAUAUAUAUAUAUAUAUAUAUAUAUAUAAAAUAUAAGCUUUGCUUUCCUUUGCUUUGGCCUUUUGAUUACUUACUACCGCUCCUUAAUCCACAAAUCAGAACUUGCCCUUCCCUCCUGGAGUCUUAUUAUUAUUAUUAUUAUUAUUAUUAACAGCAGCAGCUAACGAACUAAUAAAUUAAUCCUCCUGUGCCUGUGCCUGUGCCUGUGCCUGUGCGCAAGAUUAUAUAUCCCCUUUCUUAUCCGGUACACAAAAUCAAUCAAUGCUCUCCGGCACCCAUUAGCAGAAACCGAGGCAUAUAUAUACACUACUUCCCUAACUCCCUCACCUUCAAAUAUAUUAUUUAUAUUUAUAUUUAUAUUUAUAUAUAUAGAUAGAGAGAGACAGAUCGAGAGCGUUACCUAAUCUUUUUGGCCAUUGGUGUUGUCGCCCUUCGCAUCAGUCGUCAUCUGUCAUUUGCAAAUGUCGAGCCGGAGUCGGCACCAGCAGCCGGGGGAAGGGCCGCCGGCGCCGGCGCACCCGCAUCCGAAGCAUCUGAAGACGCCGCCGCGGGCGCUGUUCUCGUGCGGCAUCUUCGGCAACUGCGCCCGCUCCGUCCUCAGCCCCACCGCCCCUCCCUCCACGUCCGCCGCCGAGCACUCCCCUCCGACGACGACGGACGACAAGCGCUCCGCCUCCGCCGGUCCGCCGCCGCCGCC
rnacentral:lncRNA from 1 species